rnacentral:lncRNA from 1 species
GAUGAUGGAUCAUGGAUAAAUUAUCAAAUCUUAGCAUCAGUCAUAUGAUAGAUUUGAUUAACUCAAAUCUAGUUGUGAUUUCUAUGGAAAUUCUUUUCUAUCAAUCACACUACUGUGGGCACAGACUCUUGGACUUAGCCUCUCAAAUCUCAUAGAACUACUCUUUAUCAAGGUCGAUAGAUCUUAUCUUGAUGCGCACCCCACUCCUACAGUGGACCAACCGUCGCCAACAUCCAUUACAAAGGCUUAUUAUUGAGAUCCAUGUUUAUAUGUCAGUCAAACUCCAGCAGUCUCACUGCGAGUAGCAGUAUCAUCU